UGCUUUCCAUUUCGGAUUCAUCCAGUCGUUGUAAUUCCAUUUCAUGUUCCCUUAAUUUUCCAAAUAAUGUUGCUGUCGUCAUCUUUGCUAGAUCCUUAGACUCAGCUAUUGCGGUAAUCUUGGGCUGCCAUUCUCUGGUUAAACAUCUCAUGAUCUUUCCAAUCUGCUGUUCAUUAUCCACAUCUUUUCCUAGUGCAUGCAGGUUGUUGACUAUGUGUGUGAAUCUGGUUUGCAAAUCACUGAUUGACUCUUCUUUCUUCAUGCUAAAUAAUUCAUAUUCGUGCAUGAGCGUAUUCACACGAGCUCUCUUAACAUCAGUAGUACCUUCGUG
rnacentral:lncRNA from 1 species